rnacentral:lncRNA from 1 species
CUUCCCCAAAUCAGUUUCCAGCACAUUUUCAGAAGAAGAACCUGGAUAUUCUUCCUCUCAACUCUGUCAUAAAUCUAGUUUCCAUUUUCAUAUCAAUCGGAUUAGUUCCAAGACCAGGGUGAUUGACAAUGUGGUUCAUCUCACAUUUUGUGACUGAACUAAUCCAGUAAAUUCCUACCAGACGGUACACAACUCAGCAGAGACCUCUCUUUUCCAGGUGGAGUUUUAUCUCCCAAAAUAUAUAUGUUUUUCCAUCUGCGACUCUAAAAACAAACGGACGGAGUAUAAUUAAGUGUGUCUCAAUAUGGUGCCAGUGUUGAAAUUGGAUCACCUCACUGGAACGAUUGAUCUCUUGCCAAGUUCAAUAAUUAAUUGACUACUUCACUGCCACACAACUAUCUCAGAACGUAAUUAUUCACCCACAAGGUGUUCAGCGUGUCUUCCUGACCUUGCACCUGUAUUUUGAUGGAGGCAGAUCCCUUCACACGGUUGCCACAUCACAUCUCUAUCCACACAGCUGGCAUUCAGCUGACGAAGAUGAACACAUCCACACAUUGAAGUGAACCCACAGGACUUUCAGUAUUAAGUUAUUGUGCUAUGCACAAUAUGUGUAAUUACCUGAACAUCUGGGAUAACUUCUUGACAGUUGUGGCCAAUCUUAAUAGAGAAUUAAAUGAGAGAAAUAUGCAGUGCUUUCAUUAACCAUCAUUACUAAAUGAAAGUCUGCGUUUAGUCAUGAUUAAUUACACGGUGAGUUUAGUCAGCCACUGACUGUAGUCUUAUAGAGUACUGGUCUGCUGAUAGGGUGAAUAGGUUGAAAGAAGAAAGUAUAAACUUACCGUAGUAACCAAGUCACUUUCCAAUUCAAAGGCUUGUUAACACCUGACUCCCACGACGAGACCUUGGACCUCAGAUCUAUUUGCAAGACAUGGACAUGUGGCCUUGUAGGGGAGACAUCCAUAUGUUUUACAUAAAGAAAGAUAGCUAUCCACUAUAUGAUUGUUCAGGACCCUUUUUUGCCAUUGAAGACAAAGGGGCGGACAUAUGAACUGAAGUGAAAUGCAGGAUAGCCAAUAGGAGGACUACAUGAACACCUUCACUACCCAUCAAGGAGCUGGACAGACCAAAGAGAUGGGCCUCACAGUUAUCUACUCACUAAGAAUGCCUCCCAGCAUAUGAUCUCCUCUCGCGGAGCACAAGGUUAAAGGUCACGUUGAACCCUAGCCGAACAUCUCUUCUUCUUUUCUCUUAUCACAUAGGUACUUUUUUUGGGCCAGCGAAGGCACAAUUUGUGAUGUGAGAGCAUUCAUUCAUGGGCUGAAACAUAUUUUCCAGACAACCACUUAAAUGCAUUUCCCCCCUAAUAAUCGUUCAUGGAGGUCCGUCCUGUAGCACUCAUGUCUGGGACAUGACAUUGACGGCCCUGUGUCUCUAUGUAUUUGGCUGUACUGUUUGUAUGGCUGAGGUGGCUGUGUCUAGAGAACAAUAGUCCAGUGUGAGAAUCAGGUGUUCAAACGCCCUGAGAGAAUAACGAUGAAAGCCAAGAGGAACCAUAAAACUAAAGAUAAUAGGAAAUGAAGAAUGACUCCUAC